CCCUCAGAUGUCCUGGGCUGCACGCGCGCUACACUGAUGUGUCCAGUAAGCACCUAACCUCUUCCGAAAGGAACGGGUAACCUUUGCAAAGCACAUCGUGAUGGGGAUAGAUUAUUGCAAUUAUUAGUCUUGAACGAGGAAUUCCUAGUAAGCACAAGUCAUCAGCUUGUGUUGAUUACGUCCCUGCCCUUUGUACACACCGCCCGUCGCUCCUACCGAUUGAAUGUUCCGGUGAGCUCUUCGGACUGCGCGGUCUGCAGUUUCUGCGUUCCGUGCGGAAAGUUGCGCAAACCUUAACAUUUAGAGGAAGGAGAAGUCGUAACA
rnacentral:rRNA from 1 species